rnacentral:lncRNA from 1 species
UAACUUUCUCACGGAUAGUCUCAUUUCUAACCCUAUUACCCCUAGUAAGCCUAUACAUCCAAUGCAACAUCCGAAUUUCCACCACCUUUAAUUUUUGAACAUGAGAGUUCUUGACUGGCUAACACUCUGCUCCGUACAACAUGGCCGGCUGGACUGUCACUCUGUAGAACUUGCCUUUUAGUUUGGAUGACACCUUUUUAUCACACAACACUCCCAAGCCGAGCCUUCACUUUAUCCAUCCUGCCC